UACGAAGGGGCUAGCGUUGCUCGGAAUCACUGGGCGUAAAGCGCACGUAGGCGGAUCUUUAAGUCAGAGGUGAAAUCCCAAGGCUCAACCUUGGAACUGCCUUUGAUACUGGGGAUCUCGAGUCCGGAAGAGGUGAGUGGAACUGCGAGUGUAGAGGUGAAAUUCGUAGAUAUUCGCAAGAACACCAGUGGCGAAGGCGGCUCACUGGUCCGGUACUGACGCUGAGGUGCGAAAGCGUGGGGAGCAAACAGG
rnacentral:rRNA from 1 species